GAUGAAGGACGUAGUGAAAUGCGAUAAGUAAUGUGAAUUGCAGAAUUCAGUGAAUCAUCGAAUCUUUGAACGCACCUUGCGCCCUUUGGCUAUUCCGAAGGGCAUGCCUGUUUGAGUAUCAUGAACACCUCAACUCUUUAUGGUUUUCCAUGAAGGGCUUGGACUUUGGGGGUCUUGCUGGCCUUUAGUCAGCUCCUCUCAAACGAAUCAGCUUUCCAGUGUUUGGCAGCGUCACAGGUGUGAUAACUAUCUACGCUUGUGGUUUUCUGCCAGGUAAUCCUCAGUGAUGGGGAUUCGCUGGGGCUUAUAAAUGUCUCUCCUCAGCGAAGACAGCUUUGUGAACGUUUGAUCUCAAAUCAGGUAGGACUACCCGCUGAACUUAAGCAUAUCAAUAAGCGGAGGA
rnacentral:misc_RNA from 1 species